AUGGUAAAACUUUGUUUAAAACGAUGUGGUAGAAAGCAACAUGUUGUCUAUUGAAUCGUUGCAAUUGAUGUUUGAUCUCGAAGAGAAAGAAGAGAUCUUUGAAAAGUAGGUUUUUAUGAUCCGAUAAAGAAUCAAACUUGUUUAAAUAUUCCAGCUAUUAUCUAUUUCCUGGAAAAGGGUGCUCAACCAACAAGAACUGUUUAUGAUAUUUUAAGGAAGGCAGAAUUCUUUAAAGAAAAAGAAAGAACUUUGAGUUAA
rnacentral:rRNA from 1 species